GACCAUUUACAAAUAAUGCGGUUCUGCCACGUCGGUUUGAUAGUUGGUGCGUUGUAAAAAUGUGUGCCUUCGAUGUGAAUAUCGCCAGGAGAUUACUGUCAUGUCGCUGUCUGUCCCGGUGUACUACUGGACAAACUACAUCAAGCUUUGCGUCUAGAAGGAGGCAACUUACUGUCCAACUUAAAUAGGUAUUGAGGUUUUGCAGGAUAUUGACAUGGCUCUUUGAUCACAUCUCCUGCUAUUUUCGAUCCUUCAGGUGGUAGAAAUGGCAGGACCACGAUUGUCGCAAAAAUGGUGAGAUAAGGCAAGCAAUCUGCUCUGUUCUGAGUACCUGCCAAAUGGAACUCUUUAUGAGCAUCUUCAAGAUGGGGAAGGAUGUCAGCUAUCUUGGCCCUGUCGUUUGGAGAUCGUGCGCAUUCUAAGUCACUUGCAAACUGACCUACGGCUUCCAUUCGCCGUCGCCACUGAAUCAUGCUUUCAUGUACACUCCUGGAAACCUGUAUUCCAGAAUCCGGUACACUUCAGAAGGUGCUGCUUGUGAAUUGGCCCUUCGUGCUUUGCAAAUGGAGGCAUGAACAUGGCCUGCAAGGAUUCUCUGGAUUGGCUUGUCCCUUACAUAGGUCAGUGAGGUUAGUUACUCUUUUAGAUUGGAAACGAUCCAGUGGCUGCUCAGCAAAAAGUUUCAGAUAAAAAGGGUACAUAGUGUAAUUGGAAGCUUUAACUUCAAUCUUUGUACCACACAUACUACUAAUACUUACUUGAACAGUGUGCCUUUUGAGGUAUUGUACCACACAUACUACA